GCCAGACAUGGUGGUGUGUGCCUGUGGUACCAGGUGGAAGCUGAGGCAGGAGGAUUGCUUGAGCCCAGGAGUUCAAGGCCCACCUGAGCAACAUAGUGAGACCCGGUCUCUU
rnacentral:sRNA from 1 species